AGGACGAACGCUGGCGGCGUGCUUAACACAUGCAAGUCGAGCGGAAAGGCCCUUCGGGGUACUCGAGCGGCGAACGGGUGAGUAACACGUGAGCAACCUGCCCUUAGCUCCGGGAUAGCUCCGGGAAACCGGAAUUAAUACCGGAUACGACCACGGCCGACAUCUGCUGUGGUGGAAAGGAUUCCGGCUAAGGAUGGGCUCGCGGCCUAUCAGCUAGUUGGUGGAGUAACGGCCCACCAAGGCGACGACGGGUAGCCGGCCUGAGAGGGCGACCGGCCACACUGGGACUGAGACACGGCCCAGACUCCUACGGGAGGCAGCAGUGGGAAUAUUGCGCAAUGGGCGGAAGCCUGACGCAGCGACGCCGCGUGCGGGAUGAAGGCCUUCGGGUUGUAAACCGCUUUCACCAGGGACGAAGCGAGAGUGACGGUACCUGGGGAAGAAGCGCCGGCUAACUACGCGCCAGCAGCCGC
rnacentral:rRNA from 1 species